AUGUACGUGCCUACAACGUUAAAGCACCAGAUCCCAUCAAAACUUUGUAGUUAAGCACGCUUAGGCUAGAGUAGUACUAAGAUGGGUGACCUCUCGAGAAGUCCAGGUGUUUUACAUG
rnacentral:rRNA from 1 species